rnacentral:rRNA from 1 species
GAUGAACGCUGGCGGCGUGCCUAAUACAUGCAAGUCGAGCGAACGGACGAGAAGCUUGCUUCUCUGAUGUUAGCGGCGGACGGGCGAGUAACACGUGGAUAACCUACCUAUAAGACUGGGAUAACUUCGGGAAACCGGAGCUAAUACCGGAUGAUAUUUUGAACCGCAUGGUUCAAAAGUGAAAGACGGUCUUGCUGUCACUUAUAGAUGGAUCCGCGCUGCAUUAGCUAGUUGGUAAGGUAACGGCUUACCAAGGCAACGAUGCAUAGCCGACCUGAGAGGGUGAUCGGCCACACUGGAACUGAGACACGGUCCAGACUCCUACGGGAGGCAGCAGUAGGGAAUCUUCCGCAAUGGGCGAAAGCCUGACGGAGCAACGCCGCGUGAGUGAUGAAGGUCUUCGGAUCGUAAAACUCUGUUAUUAGGGAAGAACAUAUGUGUAAGUAACUGUGCACAUCUUGACGGUACCUAAUCAGAAAGCCACGGCUAACUACGUGCCAGCAGCCGCGGUAAUACGUAGGUGGCAAGCGUUAUCCGGAAUUAUUGGGCGUAAAGCGCGCGUAGGCGGUUUUUUAAGUCUGAUGUGAAAGCCCACGGCUCAACCGUGGAGGGUCAUUGGAAACUGGAAAACUUGAGUGCAGAAGAGGAAAGUGGAAUUCCAUGUGUAGCGGUGAAAUGCGCAGAGAUAUGGAGGAACACCAGUGGCGAAGGCGACUUUCUGGUCUGUAACUGACGCUGAUGUGCGAAAGCGUGGGGAUCAAACAGGAUUAGAUACCCUGGUAGUCCACGCCGUAAACGAUGAGUGCUAAGUGUUAGGGGGUUUCCGCCCCUUAGUGCUGCAGCUAACGCAUUAAGCACUCCGCCUGGGGAGUACGACCGCAAGGUUGAAACUCAAAGGAAUUGACGGGGACCCGCACAAGCGGUGGAGCAUGUGGUUUAAUUCGAAGCAACGCGAAGAACCUUACCAAAUCUUGACAUCCUUUGACAACUCUAGAGAUAGAGCCUUCCCCUUCGGGGGACAAAGUGACAGGUGGUGCAUGGUUGUCGUCAGCUCGUGUCGUGAGAUGUUGGGUUAAGUCCCGCAACGAGCGCAACCCUUAAGCUUAGUUGCCAUCAUUAAGUUGGGCACUCUAAGUUGACUGCCGGUGACAAACCGGAGGAAGGUGGGGAUGACGUCAAAUCAUCAUGCCCCUUAUGAUUUGGGCUACACACGUGCUACAAUGGACAAUACAAAGGGCAGCGAAACCGCGAGGUCAAGCAAAUCCCAUAAAGUUGUUCUCAGUUCGGAUUGUAGUCUGCAACUCGACUACAUGAAGCUGGAAUCGCUAGUAAUCGUAGACCAGCAUGCUACGGUGAAUACGUUCCCGGGUCU